rnacentral:tRNA from 1 species
GGCUGGAGAGGUAGCUUAGUGGUAGAGUAUCUGCCAGGCAUGCAAAAUACUGUAGGUUCAAUUCCUACUAAGACA